rnacentral:rRNA from 1 species
GACGAACGCUGGCGGCGUGCCUAACACAUGCAAGUCGAGCGGGGACAGCGAGUAGCAAUAUGAGCUGUUCUAGCGGCGGACGGGUGAGUAACGCGUGAGCAACCUGUCCUCAACAGGGGGGAUAACGAACCGAAAGGUUCACUAAUACCGCAUAAGACCACGGGGUCACAUGAUCCAGGGGUCAAAGGAGAAAUCCGGUUGAGGGUGGGCUCGCGUCUGAUUAGCUAGUUGGUGAGGUAACGGCUCACCAAGGCGACGAUCAGUAGCCGACCUGAGAGGGUGAUCGGCCACAUUGGAACUGAGAGACGGUCCAAACUCCUACGGGAGGCAGCAGUGGGGAAUAUUGGGCAAUGGGCGAAAAGCCUGACCCAGCAACGCCGCGUGAAGGAAGAAGGUUUUCGGAUCGUAAACUUCUAUCCUUGGUGAAAAUAAUGAUGGUAGCCAAGAAGGAAGCCCCGGCUAACUACGUG